UACGUAGGGUGCAAGCGUUGUCCGGAAUUAUUGGGCGUAAAGAGCUCGUAGGCGGUCUGUCGCGUCUGCUGUGAAAACUCGGGGCUUAACCCCGGGCCUGCAGUGGGUACGGGCAGACUAGAGUGCGGUAGGGGAGACUGGAAUUCCUGGUGUAGCGGUGAAAUGCGCAGAUAUCAGGAGGAACACCAACGGCGAAGGCAGCCGGCUGGACGAGAUCCGACGCUCAGGCUCGAAAGUAUGGGGAGCAAACAGG
rnacentral:rRNA from 1 species